UAGGGAAUCUUCCACAAUGGACGCAAGUCUGAUGGAGCAACGCCGCGUGAGUGAAGAAGGUCUUCGGAUCGUAAAGCUCUGUUGUUGGUGAAGAAGGAUAGAGGCAGUAACUGGUCUUUAUUUGACGGUAAUCAACCAGAAAGUCACGGCUAACUACGUGCCAGCAGCCGCGGUAAUACGUAGGUGGCAAGCGUUGUCCGGAUUUAUUGGGCGUAAAGCGAGCGCAGGCGGAAUGAUAAGUCUGAUGUGAAAGCCCACGGCUCAACCGUGGAACUGCAUCGGAAACUGUCAUUCUUGAGUGCAGAAGAGGAGAGUGGAACUCCAUGUGUAGCGGUGGAAUGCGUAGAUAUAUGGAAGAACACCAGUGGCGAAGGCGGCUCUCUGGUCUGCAACUGACGCUGAGGCUCGAAAAGCAUGGGUAGCGAACAGGAUUAGAUACCCUGGUAGUCCAUGCCGUAAACGAUGAGCGCUAGGUGUUGGGGACUUUCCGGUCCUCAGUGCCGCAGCAAACGCA
rnacentral:rRNA from 1 species